GACGAACGCUGGCGGCGUGCUUAAUACAUGCAAGUCGAACGGACGGACGAGAAUGUUGGUUCUCGGAUGUUAGCGGCGGACGUGAGAGUAACAUGAGGAUAACCUACCUAUAAGACUGCGAUAACAUCGUGAAACUGGAGCUAAUACGGGAUGAUAUUUUGAAGCGCAUGGUUGAAAAGUUAAAGACGGUCUUGCUGGCACUGCUAGAUGGAUCCGCGCUGGUUGAGCUGGUUGGUAAGGUAACGGCUUACCAAGGCAGCAAUGCAUAGCCGACCUGAGAGGGUGAUGGGCGACACUGGAGCUGAGACGCGGUCCAGAGUCCUACGGGAGGCACCAGUAGCGAAUGUUCGGCAAUGGGCGGAAGACUGACGGAGCAGCGGCAGGCGGGUGAUGAAAGUCUUCGGAUCGUAAGACUGUGUUAUGGGUGUAAAACAUAUGUGUAAGUAGCUGAGCACGUCGUGACGGUACCUGAUCAAGAAGCACCGGCUAACUACGUG
rnacentral:rRNA from 1 species